CGAUUAGCUCAGCGGGAGAGCGCUUCCCUGACACGGAAGAGGUCACUGGUUCAAUCCCAGUAUCGCGCACCACACGGGAACCCCCGGUCGUCUCCACGACCGGGGG
rnacentral:tRNA from 1 species